GCCACAGUAGCCAAGUUGGUCACGGCGGACGCCUGAAGAGCGUUUUAUCCGGGUUCGAUUCCAGGCUGUGGCA
rfam:Candidatus Daviesbacteria bacterium RIFCSPHIGHO2_01_FTLL_41_23 rifcsphigho2_01_scaffold_4068, whole genome shotgun sequence.